rnacentral:rRNA from 1 species
UACGUAGGGUGCAAGCGUUGUCCGGAAUUAUUGGGCGUAAAGAGCUCGUAGGCGGUCUGUCGCGUCUGCUGUGAAAACUCAGGGCUUAACCCUGAGCUUGCAGUGGGUACGGGCAGACUAGAGUGUGGUAGGGGAGAUCGGAAUUCCUGGUGUAGCGGUGAAAUGCGCAGAUAUCAGGAGGAACACCGGUGGCGAAGGCGGAUCUCUGGGCCAUUACUGACGCUGAGGAGCGAAAGCGUGGGGAGCGAACAGG